rnacentral:rRNA from 1 species
UACAGAGGGUGCAAGCGUUGUUCGGAAUUAUUGGGCGUAAAGCGCGUGUAGGCGGCUUUGCAAGUCGGGUGUGAAAGCCCUCAGCUUAACUGAGGAAGUGCGCCCGAAACUGCAGAGCUUGAAUACCGGAGAGGAUGGCGGAAUUCCCCAAGUAGAGGUGAAAUUCGUAGAUAUGGGGAGGAACACCGGUGGCGAAGGCGGCCAUCUGGACGGCUAUUGAACGCUGAGACGCGAAAGCGUGGGGAGCGAACAGG